UAAAUUCUGUAGCUACUAAUUACUCAACUUCAGUAGUCCUUUGUGCCUUUUCCCCCAAAUUCCAAACUGGAUGCUUCCAACCCUGAAAAAGUAAUCCUGGAACAGCUGGCCCUAUACUGAAAACAAACUAUACUGACCUAGGGUGUGGUUAUCCCAAAAGAGACAAACUACCAAGCAGACACUGGAUAUUCACUCUGAGCUGAAAAAGGAGAGGGUAUGUGCAGUAACUACUUCAUGAAUGGAUGGAGCUGGAAGUGAAUGAAUGAAUGAAGUGAAUAAUAGGAGAUGAAAACUGCUGAAGAAUGUG